GGCAGACCCGUUGACUAAGCCAUUGGGCCAGUAAAAGAUCGAAGCCCACCUUGAGAAGAUGGGACUUAGAUAUGUAGCCAAUUGGUAUUAGGUCAAGUGGGAGUUUGUUAGAUGUGUGCCCUAGAUGCCAGAUUGGCUGACACAUUCCUGUACAAAUCUUAGGGCAAAUUUAUAAUUUUGACUAUAAAUCAAUAAAUGGAUUAUUCUUCUAUCACAUUGUGUACAUUGUGUCUGUGAUACAUCAUUUGAGUUAGUAGGAAUGUCAAUUCAUAUUUUCAAGAGUUGAAAAUUUAAGGCAUGAAUUUACAUAACUAACUCAUAAAUAACUCCUGACCAUAGGAUCAUCACGAGGAUGGUGAUCGAUCCGAAAUAUUGGUGUACGAUCAUUUCCUUAGGGUAGAUGUGUCUUGAGUCUAUGGUGUGGAGACACCAGAGCGAGAGUACAGAUAUUCAUUGAGAAUGAGAGUACUGAGCAUCAUCAUAUCGAGCAGUCAUAAGAAGUCUACUUUCUCAUCGAUGACUAGCUCGAUGCUGCAGUUGUGUAUCUAGUUCUUUGAUCUGAGGUACAUCGAUAGUUCACCUUGAGUGUGUUAUAGUUUGACUACAUCAUAACUCAGUCUCCUAGCCAUUUGGAACUCUGAGGUGUAUGUUGGCUGUAGCAUAUUCAUUGUAGGAACUAGGUCGCACCAAGAUGGGAUCUAUCAACCUCGGUAGAUGAGAGGAGUAGUCCUAUGGUGAU
rnacentral:lncRNA from 1 species